rnacentral:lncRNA from 1 species
AUAAAAUAGUCUUCAAGUAAAUACAAAAAUUUAAUAUCCAGCUAUACGACACGACAAAUCUCUCUGAAUCAUCAAUCAACAGAAUUAAAUGCGACGUCAAGAGUUUGACAAUAUUUGAGUCACUCGAAAUAUUUUCUUCAGAUUUCAUGGUGCCUAUAUAGGAUCCCUAUUGUGUUCUAAGCUUCAUGGAAAGUUCUUGGUGCAGUCGAUGUAUCGCUAGCGGGAACCAUGUUACAAUUUUCUUCCAUUGACCGCUGCAAUAUCCGAUUAAAAAUAACCCUUUCAUCAACAACUCGACGACGAAUCACUGUUACAUCGACGUGCACGAACACAAGGUUGUGGUACGAUGAAGCACAUUCUUGAAUCUUGAUCAAAUCUUCUCGUUCAAAAUCCCGAACCGGCCGGCCAAGAUUUGAGAGCUUCGAGGAUGAUUUCUCGUGUCUCGUCGCUGCCGUGGAACUGUUCAUGACUGAUACAUACAGAUUUUGGGAUAACAGAUGGAUGAGUUUCAGUUGAAACAAUAUGUAAAUCCCUAAGUUGGAUAAAAAGGUACGUAAAUUGACAAGAAAAAUCGGUAUUGAUUUGAAGUGAGGAGAUGGAUGGGUCGUCAGGUGUAAUGGUUUCUUCGCCUUUCUUUGUAAUGUCAAAGUAUACUUCUUGGUGAGACUGAGUAACCUUUCAUGUUAGAUUAUUUUGGAGGGAAAACUGUGGGUCUGUACAUAUUAAAAUUCCUUUUCCAUGUCGAGAAGGGAAACAUUAACGGCUAGAAUAAUUAAAAAGUUACCAUA